rnacentral:lncRNA from 1 species
GGAGGGGGGCUGGCUUUGGGGGGGAAACAGCCCAGAUUUCUGCCAUCUGCUUGCAAGCCUGGGCCAGGGAGGGGGGGUCACAGCAGCCCGCAAUGGGGGCAUUGGAAGGGCAGGUGGAGCCAGUGGCAUUGAUUGCAGUAACCUGAUCCCCAGGGGAGGUGGCGACAUCAGCGGCGGCCAUGUAGCAGCGGCAGGAGGAAGCACCCUGCAGCUGAGGAGCUGGACGGCAGCACUGGGACCCGGGCGGUGGGCAGCUGCCUCCUCUCCAGCCCAUCCAUUUUUAAUGAGCUCCCCAGGCAUCUGCAGCAGGCAGGACACAGACAGGCAGGCCCAGGCUGUGGAGGCCGGAGGCCACAGCCCUGCCUUGCUUGAGCCCUGGCCCCCCACCCCACUGGGCAUGAGAGGCCAGCCCUGGGGCCCCACAGCCCCCAGGCCAGGCUGGGCUCUCCAUGCAGCUGGCGCUGAAGAUGGAUUCGAGCCCAGACAAUGACAGCUGGUUGGAGGACCGGUGGGAGCACUGGCUCACCCAUGACAUCAGCUUGGAAGAGUUUGAGGAUGAAGACCUCUCAGAGAUCACUGAUGAGUGUGGCAUCAGCCUGCAGUGCAAAGAUACCCUGUCCCUGCGGCAGGUAGCGCUGGCUUCUGGGAGUCCCUGCAUGGGGUGGCAGGAUGGUUAGGGGCAGGAGUGAGGGUGCCCCCCUGUCAUUAAAUUAGCUUUCAGAUCAGCAUGGCACCUUCAGGGGGUGAAGUGACAGGUGGGAAACAUCCAGUGUGAUGCUUGGCAUCUCUUGGGUGCUCAAUCAGAAUUUAUUUUUAUUUUUUUUGUGGCCAGAGUUUAUUUUUUAAAAUUGUAUUUAUUUCUUUGCCAGGGCUAAGGCAGAAAGCAGCUCCUUAAGUAACCCACAAGCAGAGGGGCAGGAGGUCUUGAGGUCUAGGACAGUGGCAGGGAGGCCCAGAGAUAAGGACAGAGCAGCCUUGGCCCAGGGCCGAAGGCUGCACAGGGUGGGGUGUGGUGGAAUCUGCAGUGCUUUGGGGCAGGCAGAAAGAGCCAAGUAACUCCCACAAGGGCCAGCACCACUGUGCCAAGCCACCAGCCCCACGAAGCCUCCCCAGCCCUCUCUGACCCCAGUGAGAGGUUGGCUGGUUCUGCUGCUGCCUUGGGCCCCUUAGCUUUGCUCCCUCCAGUUCCGGAAGAUCUGAAUGCUGCCAGGAGGUCCUCAGCAGCUGGGGAGUCUCAGGUCAGAUGGGGAUCCCCACUGCAUCUUUUCAGAACAGGAGGCAGGGAAGCCAGGAGAGGGAAGGUAAAUCCAGGGGCUAGGGUUUAGUGGGAGGGUGGAUAGCCAGGUAUGGUGUUGGGAGAGCUGCAGUGGGAGUUGGGGAGGGGGUGCUGGCUCUGUGUUGACCCUUUGGUACACCCAGAGCUUCUGGAAGCUCUGCCCAGCAAGAGAAAACCAAGGGUUGACAAUAACAUUCCUGUACCCCAAUCUUCCACCCUCUGGCCACACCAGGGAGGUAUGGAGGUGUAGGCUACUUAUUCUGGUUUCAGGGCUCUAGCAUGGCUUCUCUGAGGUCAUACACCUGUUCUGAGCUCUGGCACCCCAUGUCCCCCAAUAUGCAAGCAAAGCCCCAAGAGGGCCCUGAGGUAGUGCUAGCUAGGGAUGUGCCUCCAUGGGGCCUUAGGCAAGCUGUGGGGGACAUUCACACAGCCAGGGCAGUGUCCUCACCCCUCUAGGACGGUGGGAAGCAGAAGUAAUGUACCAAAUCAACCGGCGGCGGGGAGGGGAGGAAGGGGUAGGGAGGAUCUGUCCAAGGUGCCAGGGACUUCGUGGUAGAGCUGGAACCAGCACUGGGCUUGGGACCCAAGGCAGGGUUAGCUGAGGGAAGGUCUCCGUGGGCCGAGGAGAGGAGACGGGGAAGGAGAGGAUGCCACGUCCUGAGUUCCAGGUGCCACUCGCUUGCCGCCCCCCACCCCCACCCCGCAUCCCUCUUCCGGUCGUUGUCAACCUUUCCCGGUCUGCACUGCGUCCCUCCCACGGUCUUCCUCUCCUGGCUGAGACUCACUUUUCUCUAUUUUCCUCACGCUCUCCUUCAAACACUAAUCGUAACCCCCACCCCCAUCCCUUGCGGGGCCCGAACGCCUUGGCGACCCCUACGUCCCCAUGGCAACAGCGGUGAUUUCACUCUGGGCUCGGCUUACCACCCGGGUGAGGUCACUGGCCGUUGCCAAGGGAACGGGAGAGUGCAAGGAGUGAGGAGGGGGGGCCCGUGGGUGGGGACAGGCGCUGUGGGCCGUCCAAGGCGCCGAC